AGAGAGAGACAUGCGCGCAUAUCAAUAAGCGGAGGAAAAGAAACUAACAAGGAUUCCCUUAGUAACGGCGAGUGAAGCGGGAAGAGCUCAAAUUUGAAAUCUUCAAGGUUUUACCUUGACGAAUUGUAGUUUAAAGAAGUGUUUUCUGUUGGAGUUUUGGUAAAAGUUCUUUGGAAUAGGACAUCAUAGAGGGUGAGAAUCCCGUAUUUGACCAUUAUUUUCAGCUUUGUGAUACACUUUCAAAGAGUCGGAUUGUUUGGGAAUGCAGUCCAAAAUGGGUGGUAAAUUUCAUCUAAAGCUAAAUAUUGGCGAGAGACCGAUAGCGAACAAGUACCGUGAGGGAAAGAUGAAAAGAACUUUGAAAAGAGAGUUAAACAGUACGUGAAAUUGUCAAAAGGGAAGCGUUUGACACCAGUGUUGUUUUCUCGAAAAUCAAUUAAAAAUGGCUCGAUUUUGUAUUGUUGAGACCUUAAAAGCUCACUGUACAUUUUUCGUGUCUUUUUAAUGCACUUUUCGUUUAACAAGUCAACAUCAGUUUCUUUUGUUGUAAAAGGGUCAUUGGAAGGUGGCUUUCUUUUCGGAGAAAGUGUUUAUAGCCUUUGGCCUCUGCAAUCGAAGAGACUGAGGUCUGCAGCGUAGACUCUUCGGGGUUAGAUACAUUUGUGCUAAGUUAUAGCUUUUUAUAGACAACUUGUUGACUAUAAUUAGUCUUGUAGCUUACUCGCUUAUGCUAUUUUACCUACGCUUAGGAUGUUGAAGAUGUAGCACAUCAU
rnacentral:rRNA from 1 species